rnacentral:rRNA from 1 species
CACGUAGUUAGCCGACACUUAUUCCUAGGCUACCGUCCAUUCUCGUCACCUAGAAAAGGGCUUUACGACCCGAAAGCCUUCAUCACCCACGCGGCGUCGCUGCAUCAGGCUUGCGCCCAUUGUGCAAUAUUCCUCACUGCUGCCUCCCGUAGGAGUCUGGACCGUGUCUCAGUUCCAGUGUGGGGGGCCACCCUCUCAGGUCCCCUAGCCGUCGUUGCCUUGGUGCGCCAUUACCACACCAACUAGCUGAUGGCCCGCAGUCCCCUCCCAAAGCGCCGGAACUUUUCUCCCAGGGUUCUAAAAUCCGGGAGCUUAUAGGGUAUUAGCAUUCCUUUCGGAACGUUAUCCCCUACUUUGGGGUAGGUCAACCACGUGUUACUCACCCGUGCGCCACUAUCGACCGAAGUCGACCGUUCGACUUGCAUGUGUUAGGCACGCCGCCAGCGUUCAUCCUGAGCCAGGAUCAAACUC